ensembl:lncRNA
GCAAGAUCAACCUCAAGAUCAUCUGUCCUCAUCCUACUUGACCUCUCUGCUGCUUUUGACACUGUGAAUCAUCACAUCCUCCUGUCAACUCUAUCCCCAUAGGCAUCACCGGAAAGGGUCUGUGCUGGGUGGAAUCAUAUCUGACAGGCAGAUCCUACAAGCAUGAUGAUCUAUCCUUCUCAGUGCACAUCUCUGCCUGCCUGUCUGAUAUCUCAAACUGGAUGAGGCAACACCACCAUAAGUUCAACUUGGCAAAAUCUGAGCUUCUCAUCACCCCAGCCUGCCCCUCAAUCAACCACAACCUCACUGUACAGCUCGGCUCAACCACACUCAAGCCAACCAGAACAGCCAGGAACCUUGGAGUGACUUUUGAUGACAGCUUGACCUUCACAGACCACAUUUCAACAACUGCACGGUCCGGAUUAAAUUGUUCAGAGUCAUGUAGCAACACUACUCUCAACAUUUGGCUGGGCUCGGAGGUCUUGCUCCCAUGCAGCCUUUUGAAAAGUGGAAAAACCGAAGAAGUCAGGUGGAGCCAAACUUCCAGCCUUCUGAGCAUCGGGUCUUCUGGAAAUGUCACCUUUGAGGAUCCUAGGGAUGGCAGAUUGACAGCAUUCCCCUUCCUGUUUGGCAGAGGAAACUUUUCCAUCCUCGUUCAUCAGUUUCAGGCCUCUGACCUGGGCAUCUACUGCUGUCAGCUGAGCCACGAGUGCCAGAGAGUCGAAAUAAAGCUCUCGCAAAGUUCAGAAAGUCACAAAGGAGGCUUAAAUUUCCCAUGGUACUACAUUGUUGCUGGAGUUGGAAUAUUUAUUCUGCUUGUGACUGUAUUUUGUCUUAUCUACAAAUUCAGAGCAGGAAAGUGUCUAAACAGUGCAUCUGAUUCUUAUUACGUCAACCAAGAACAAAGGGAGGGAGAACAUAGAGAUCGUGUUGACCGCACCAAGGUUGAUGAGUGUGAUGGUGAGUAUGAAGACAUAGAGAGUGAUACACAAGGGGCGGAUUAUGAAAACGCAUCAGGAGAAGAUACAAUGAGGGAAGAGCAGGACGAGGAUUAUGUAAACACUGAGAGAAGAAAUGGUCAUGAUCAGUAUUAUGAUACUGACAGAGAGUGCCCUGCUGAACACCAUGUGGAGAGAGAUAUGCAAGGUUACCAUGACAAUGAUGUCUAUGAAAAUGAUGAGCACAAUCCCAAACAAAAGUCAAAAGUCCCCCCAAAAGCAGCAGCAGCUUUCAGAAAAAUGCCAAAUCAGCAGCCGGGUUCAGUAGGACUGUACUAUGCCAAUCAGUCAGAGAUAGACAAGUCUCGCUGUGCUAGGAACAGAAACAAAGACAAAGAAUAUCAGUUCAAAAAUCCAUUAUAUGACCGAACUCCAGCAAACAAUAAAUAAACAGUCAUCUUCCAACUCACUGAAAACAUGCCUGUUUAAGUUUAUGUACUGUAAUAUUCUGUAAUGGUAUUGUUCCACUGGAUUUGUGACUUAGGAAAUAGUGAAAAUGGGUACAUGGUUCUGGUUUAUACUGCAUAAAGAUGUCUGAGGUCGUGUAUCAGUGUGAUUUCUUUCAUUGUUUAUCAGGCUUAAUCAUCAUCAGUUAUAUACUUUUGAGAUAUUUUUUCUUGUGAAGAUAAAUCAAUAAAUAGGUCCUUAACUCUUUCUUUUGAGUCUGAUUAUUUUGUGCUGAGUUUCUGAUUAAUGCAGUAUUUAUGAAGCUAAAAAUCUUUCCUCCUAG